rnacentral:rRNA from 1 species
GACGAACGCUGGCGGCGUGCCUAACACAUGCAAGUGGAGCGACGAACCAGGGCUUGCCCUGGAGCAAAGCCGCGAACGGGUGAGUAACACGUGGGUAACCUGCCCCAAAGACUGGGACAACCCGAGGAAACUCGGGCUAAUACCGGAUGUGCCCUACACACAUAAGUGUGGCGGGCAAAGGAAGCUUCGGCCUCCGCUUUGGGAGGGGCCCGCGGCCCAUUAGCUUGUUGGUGAGGUAACGGCUCACCAAGGCUGCGAUGGGUAGCUGGUCUGAGAGGACGAUCAGCCACACUGGGACUGAGACACGGCCCAGACUCCUACGGGAGGCAGCAGUGGGGAAUCUUGCGCAAUGCGCGAAAGCGUGACGCAGCAACGCCGCGUGGGGGAAGAAGGCCU